rnacentral:rRNA from 1 species
CAGUAGCGCGUAAUACAGAGGGUGCGAGCGUUAAUCGGAUUUACUGGGCGUAAAGCGUGCGUAGGCGGCUUCUUAAGUCGGAUGUGAAAUCCCUGAGCUUAACUUAGGAAUUGCAUUCGAUACUGGGAAGCUAGAGUAUGGGAGAGGAUGGUAGAAUUCCAGGUGUAGCGGUGAAAUGCGUAGAGAUCUGGAGGAAUACCGAUGGCGAAGGCAGCCAUCUGGCCUAAUACUGACGCUGAGGUACGAAAGCAUGGGGAGCAAACAGGAUUAGAUACCCGUGUAGUCCCUGUCUCUUAUACAC